rnacentral:tRNA from 1 species
GCUGAUAUGGCUCAGGCGGUAGAGCACAUCCUUGGUAAGGAUGAGGUCACCGGUUCAAGUCCGGUUAUCAGCUCCA